rnacentral:rRNA from 1 species
GGAAUCUUGCGCAAUGGGCGAAAGCCUGACGCAGCCAUGCCGCGUGAAUGAUGAAGGUCUUAGGAUUGUAAAAUUCUUUCAGUAGGGACGAUAAUGACGGUACCUACAGAAGAAGCCCCGGCUAACUUCGUGCCAGCAGCCGCGGUAAUACGAAGGGGGCUAGCGUUGCUCGGAAUUACUGGGCGUAAAGGGAGCGUAGGCGGACAUUUAAGUCAGGGGUGAAAUCCCAGAGCUCAACUCUGGAACUGCCUUUGAUACUGGGUGUCUUGAGUGUGAUAGAGGUAUGUGGAACUCCGAGUGUAGAGGUGAAAUUCGUAGAUAUUCGGAAGAACACCAGUGGCGAAGGCGACAUACUGGAUCAUUACUGACGCUGAGGCUCGAAAGCGUGGGGAGCAAACAGGAUUAGAUACCCUUG